rnacentral:tRNA from 1 species
CUGGGGAUAUAGCUCAGUUGGUAGAGUGUAUGCCUACCAUGCACAAGGCCUGGUUCAAUCCCCAGCACCAGA